ACACAUGCAAGUCGAGGGGCAGCAUGAACUUAGCUUGCUAAGUUUGAUGGCGACCGGCGCACGGGUGAGUAACACGUAUCCAACCUGCCGAUGACUCGGGGAUAGCCUUUCGAAAGAAAGAUUAAUACCCGAUGGCAUAGUUCUUCCGCAUGGUAGAACUAUUAAAGAAUUUCGGUCAUCGAUGGGGAUGCGUUCCAUUAGGUUGUUGGCGGGGUAACGGCCCACCAAGCCUUCGAUGGAUAGGGGUUCUGAGAGGAAGGUCCCCCACAUUGGAACUGAGACACGGUCCAAGCUCCUACGGGAGGCAGCAGUGAGGAAUAUUGGUCAAUGGACGAGAGUCUGAACCAGCCAAGUAGCGUGAAGGAUGACUGCCCUAUGGGUUGUAAACUUCUUUUAUACGGGAAUAAAGUGAGGCACGUGUGCCUUUUUGUAUGUACCGUAUGAAUAAGGAUCGGCUAACUCCGUGCCAGCAGCCGCGGUAAUACGGAGGAUCCGAGCGUUAUCCGGAUUUAUUGGGUUUAAAGGGAGCGUAGGCGGACGCUUAAGUCAGUUGUGAAAGUUUGCGGCUCAACCGUAAAAUUGCAG
rnacentral:rRNA from 1 species